rnacentral:rRNA from 1 species
CCUCUUGUUCGGGAUAACUGCUGGAAACGGCAGCUAAUACCGGAUAAGCUCCCCCAAUUGUAUGGGGAGGAAAGGAGGCCUCUUCAUGAAAGCUUCCGCGAGGGGAUGAGUCCGCGUCCCAUUAGCUAGUUGGUGAGGUAACGGCCCACCAAGGCAACGAUGGGUAGCCGGUCUAAGAGGAUGACCGGCCACACUGGAACUGAAACACGGUCCAGACUCCUACGGGAGGCAGCAGUGGGGAAUAUUGCGCAAUGGACGAAAGUCUGACGCAGCGACGCCGCGUGAGGGAUGAAGGUUUUCGGAUCGUAAACCUCUGUCAGGAGGGAAGAAAGCGCAUGGCGCCAAUCAGCCAUGCGUUGACGGUACCUCCAAAGGAAGCGCCGGCUAACUCCGUGCCAGCAGCCGCGGUAAUACGGAGGGCGCGAGCGUUAAUCGGAAUUACUGGGCGUAAAGCGCGCGUAGGCUGUUGUGUAAGUUGGGGGUGAAAUCCCACGGCUCAACCGUGGAACAGCCCUUGAUACUGCGCGACUUGAAUCCGGGAGAGGGUGGCGGAAUUCCAGGUGUAGGAGUGAAAUCCGUAGAUAUCUGGAGGAACAUCAGUGGCGAAGGCGGCCACCUGGACCGGUAUUGACGCUGAGGCGCGAAAGCGUGGGGAGCAAACAGGAUUAGAUACCCUGGUAGUCCACGCUGUAAACGAUGGAUGCUGGAUGU